GCGCACUGCCAAGUGACCGGAUUUCCUCCAUCAUGGUUCUCCGGCCUCAUUCCGGUGCCAGAUCAGCCUCAGUUAGCAGAAGGGUUGAGAUCGACCACUGGCUCACCCCUUUCGAAGGCUGAGAACAAAC
rnacentral:snoRNA from 1 species